rnacentral:rRNA from 1 species
UUGAACGCUGGCGGCAUGCUUUACACAUGCAAGUCGAACGGCAGCGGGGGCUUCGGCCUGCCGGCGAGUGGCGAACGGGUGAGUAAUGCAUCGGAACGUACCCAGUCGUGGGGGAUAACUACGCGAAAGCGUGGCUAAUACCGCAUACGCCCUGAGGGGGAAAGCGGGGGACCUUCGGGCCUCGCGCGAUUGGAGCGGCUGAUGUCGGAUUAGCUGGUUGGUGGGGUAAAGGCCUACCAAGGCGACGAUCCGUAGCUGGUCUGAGAGGAUGAUCAGCCACACUGGGACUGAGACACGGCCCAGACUCCUACGGGAGGCAGCAGUGGGGAAUUUUGGACAAUGGGCGCAAGCCUGAUCCAGCCAUGCCGCGUGAGUGAAGAAGGCCUUCGGGUUGUAAAGCUCUUUCGGCGGGGAAGAAAUCGCACGGGUUAAUACCUCGUGUGGAUGACGGUACCCGAAUAAGAAGCACCGGCUAACUACGU